rnacentral:lncRNA from 1 species
GAAAGUAAACAAAUUGCAGGUUGGCCAGAGACUUCUGGAAAUCAGGAUUAUCUGGAGGAAUAGGAGGAGAGCAGGCUCAGGCUGAACCUGGUGGCUGUCUGUAUGUGGCUGCAGUACUGUUUGGGAAGGACAGAACUGGGUGUCCUGUGGCUCUGGGAUCAGAGCCAAGUCUGGAGAGAGAUUCUUAAAGGUGGAGAGAGAUGUUCUGACAAUCCUGUGAUGGAUACCUCUUCCUGCAAACGUCAAUAGUCAUGCUGAGGUUGGUGUGAAAACGAAGAAUCCCCAGUCAAGGAACUGGAGGUGAUAGAACCAUGAGGCUGGCAAGCCAGUGGCCAGUGAGCCAGCAUGUUAGACUGGGAAGAAGUUUUGACAUCACCCAGCUUGACAGCCUUGUUUAUGUGCAGCCCGUGAUGUUCUCAUGCUCCCAUCCGUCAUAGAUAAGAUGACCUUGGGUUAUGCAAAAUUCCCAGUGCACUCCACAUAACCCCAUCCCUGUCUUUCCUACUUAGGAAGGCAAUGUGAAUUUAAGCGACUGGAAUUAAUCUUAUUGUAGAAACAACCUUGACUUUUUUCUGAUUCAUGCGAAAUAGCACAUCACUCAUGAGUUUCAGAUCAAUGAUCAGUGACAGGUUACCACACGCAACGCUCCUCAUACCUAAUUGUCACAUACGUGUUUCUCAUCCAACCCUUUCAUUUCACAAUGGGGAAAUUGAGGCCUAGAGAAGGGAAAGAGCCAUAGUCAAGUGCGUAUGAGAGGUGUGAGGUAGGAGCCAAGUCUCCUAACUCCAAACGAUGGCUCUUUCUCUAACUGAGAGCCACUAGCUGUCAACUUAGAUUUUGGUUGGUGGCAGCAAGGGAUAGGCUGGUGAGAGGAAGAAGGAAACAAAGGAAAAGAAAGGUGUGAACCUGCCGUGUUUCAUCCUAGUGACAUCACCAAGGAGAUGCCUGCGUCCAACAAACCUAGCAUUCUCCAGAGCCCCGUGCCUGACCAGUGCUUGGAGGGUCUAGCGUAAAGCCCAGCACCCAUGAGGCUCUCAAAAGAUACCUCUGGCUAUCGGGAAGCAGAAAGCCCAGACAAGAAGCUGCUUCAAGGCUCAGGUGGGAGAGGGGUCAGAG